GAAGGGCCUUGCUGAGGUCAUUUGCAUUUGCUAUGGCCUCCACUCUUGCUCCUCCGGAUGACCUCCACAUUGCUGGCUUCUUGUUGGAUAUAAAGAAGAUGACAAUUAGCGUGUGGGGAGUCCCCAAGACAUUUUGAUGUUAAACGUGGGUCCUUCUUCUUGACAAGGGAUACACACCUACCUACCGAGAGACCUCCAAACAGAGACAUCAACACAGAAACCUCCGCAGAGAUAACCAGAUCUCCAUAUGCAAACCCAUGUAAAAAGAAACCUAGAGAAACAGAUGCCCAGAUGAAGAGGGCAGGUGGAGCUACUGCCUGGAAGGACUCAAUGUGCUUCAGUGGCUGAUGCCCACUCCUUAAAAAACAAAA
rnacentral:lncRNA from 1 species